CACUGGUCGAGAUCUGUUGCCUCUCUCCUGAUGAGUCCAAGGCAGGACGAAACCAGUG
rnacentral:hammerhead_ribozyme from 1 species